GUCUACGGCCAUGCCGCCCUGAACAAGCCCGAAACCGUCUGAUCUCAGAAGCUAAGUAAGAUCAGGCCUGGUUAGUAUUUGAAUGGGAGACAAUCUAGGAGAACCAGGUGCUGUAGGUG
rnacentral:rRNA from 1 species